rnacentral:rRNA from 1 species
UACAGAGGGGGCAAGCGUUGUUCGGAAUUACUGGGCGUAAAGGGCGCGUAGGCGGCCUGUUAAGUCGGACGUGAAAUCCCUCGGCUCAACCGGGGAACUGCGUCUGAUACUGGCGGGCUUGAGUUCGGGAGAGGGAUGUGGAAUUCCAGGUGUAGCGGUGAAAUGCGUAGAUAUCUGGAGGAACACCGGUGGCGAAGGCGGCAUCCUGGACCGACACUGACGCUGAGGCGCGAAAGCCAGGGGAGCAAACGGGAUUAGAUACCCCCGUAGUCC